GACGAACGCUGGCGGCGUGCUUAACACAUGCAAGUCGAACGGAAAGGCCCUGCUUUUGUGGGGUGCUCGAGUGGCGAACGGGUGAGUAACACGUGAGUAACCUGCCCUUGACUUUGGGAUAACUUCAGGAAACUGGGGCUAAUACCGGAUAGGAGCUCCUGCUGCAUGGUGGGGGUUGGAAAGUUUCGGCGGUUGGGGCUGGACUCGCGGCUUAUCAGCUUGUUGGUGGGGUAGUGGCUUACAAAGGCUUUGACGGGUAGCCGGCCUUGGAGCGUGACCGGGGACAUGGCUACUGCGGGAGGGCGCAGUCUCGAAUGGUCGGCAGCAGGGGAGAAUAUUGCGGAAUGGGGCGACGCGUGAUGUAGCGGUGCCGCGUGCGUAAUGCCGGCCUUCGGGGUGUAAACCACUGUCGCAUGUGCCGAAGCGUGAGUGACGGUAACUGGUAAAGAAGCACCGGCUAACUACGUG
rnacentral:rRNA from 1 species